ACCACCCACGGGGGAGAGACCGCACGGGCGACGUCCCGCGGCGGCGCCGAAGGGGCAACCCCUCCCCGGAACCUCUCAGGCAAAAGGACCUCGUGGGCAGG
rnacentral:ncRNA from 1 species